UCGUACUACCGAGGCCCGAGGGCUGUCGCUGACGCGUUUCAAGCGUCGUGCACGCCCGAGCGCUCUCGCAUACAAAAUCCACCUCACCACUUGUGCAUCACCGCGUGGGGCCUCUCUUUCGGGAGGCUCGCGUUUUUAAUACACACAUACACGUUUAUAGUCAGUUUAGAAUGUCACUCAUUUGCGAUCACACGCAAUCAAUA
rnacentral:misc_RNA from 1 species